GGUAAUUCCAGCUCCAAUAGCGUAUAUUAAAGUUGUUGCAGUUAAAAAGCUCGUAGUUGGAUUUCUUUUAUGUAGGUAGGGUUCGGGUUCGUAUCGUCUUUCAUGGCGUGUACGGCCUUCCUCUUGCAUGAAAUUUGUGUAUAUCUCUCCUAGCAAUAGGAUUCCGGGAUAUACAUCGGUUACUGUGAAAAAAUCAAAGCGUUCAAAGCAGGCUUUAUGCUCUGAAUGUCCCAGCAUGGAAUAAUAAUUUAAGCCAUUGUCUUAUUUUGUUGGUUUACAAGACGAAGGAAUGUUUAAUAGGAUCAGUCGGGGAUAUCCGAACUUGGAAGUCAGAGGUGAAAUUCUUGGAUUUUCCAAAGUCGAACUACUGCGAAAGCAUUUAUCAAGGAUGUUUUCAUUAAUCAAGAACGAAAGUUUGGGGAUCGAAGAUGAUUAGAUACCAUCGUAGUCUAAACCAUAAACGAUGCCGAUUCGGGAUCGUCUUUUGAUAUAUCAUGUCAAAGGCGGCACCGUACGCGAAAGCAAAAUCUUUGGGUUCUGGGGGGAGUAUGAUCGCAAGGUUGAAACUUAAAGGAAUUGACGGAAGGGCACCAUCAGGCGUGGAGCCUGCGGCUCAAUUUGACUCAACUCGGGAAAACUUAGCAGGGCAGGACAAAAUAAGGAUUGACAGAUUGAGAGCUCUUUCUUGAUUCUUUGGGUGGUGGUGCAUGGCCGUUCUUAG
rnacentral:rRNA from 1 species